AUCCUACGGGGGGCUGCAGUGGGGAAUCUUGGACAAUGGGGGCAACCCUGAUCCAGCGACGCCGCGUGGGUGACGAAGGCCUUCGGGUUGUAAAGCCCUUUUUCCGGGGACGAUGAUGACGGUACCCGGGGAAUAAGCACCGGCUAACUCCGUGCCAGCAGCCGCGGUAAGACGGAGGGUGCUAGCGUUGUUCGGAUUUACUGGGCGUAAAGGGCGCGUAGGCGGCCUGAUCAGUCGGGUGUGAAAGCCCGGGGCUCAACCCCGGAACGGCACCCGAGACGGUCAGGCUGGAGACCGGGAGAGGAGGGUGGAAUAGCCAGUGUAGAGGUGAAAUUCGUAGAUAUUGGCUGGAACACCGGUGGCGAAAGCGGCUCUCUGGCCCGGUUCUGACGCUGAGGCGCGAAAGCGUGGGGAGCAAACAGGAUUAGAUACCCCAGUAGUCGU
rnacentral:rRNA from 1 species